rnacentral:lncRNA from 1 species
GCUUAACCAAGCCCAUUAACCUUCUUGCUGGAUUCACCAGACCUUUCCAACGUGCACCCCCUGGAAACGUUUGAAUUGAUUGGGCUUGGAUACAGCCCAUGUGCAUUUUCAGAUUCACACCCCAAUUCCAUUUUUUUGGAAUUUUCUUUCUAUACCAAAAAUUGCAUUAGGCUCAUCCUGCAACCCAUUGGCCAAAUCCUGUUUACACCUCCUUUUCCAAUUCACGCCUCCAUUUAAUUGCUUUGCUUUUAUUUUUUCUUAAUUGUUUUUUUUUG